rnacentral:lncRNA from 1 species
CGAAUCGUGUAAGGUUUCUUAUGCCCCAGCUUGAAAAAUGACUUCCCGGUAGACAGGCGGCUGCCCAUCCUGAAAUGGUGGUAUUUAUUUACAUAGAAAGAUCUCACCAGAGCUCGUUGCCUGACUCCGUUCUGACACCGCGGCAGCUGCUGGGAGGCGGAGGUUGCCGGGGCCCGGCGGCCGCGCAAGUUAUUAAAUCUGUAUGCAUGGAAUUUAAAACCUCUGCCAAUCGUACAUCCACCCAUGGGCAUUAAUCACCGUGUCGCGUAGAGGGUCAGUUGAGUCACGCAACACUCAGAACGCUGUGUUUAGCCUUGUCUUUCCAGAGGUGUGUUUUUCAGUCAUUUUUUCAAGGAAAACGAAAUGAUUGAGCCGGAGCAAAGCUUUGAGUGUGUCUGUGCGGCUGUGCUGUUGCCAAGUCUGAAAAUCUAGUGAGCUCCUGGGCACCUGGGACCUCUGGCCCGCGGCCGCCUGGUUUGCUCCGUUGACUUUCGAGUUCCCAGGCUCCGAGGGAGAGGCAGUUCUCCGGGGGGUGUGGGGGCACCGUCCCCUCCGGUCACCCGUCCGGUCCGUCUCGGCCGUCGAGUCCAUGCCGCCACCGUCCAGCUUUGUCCCCAGCCAUCGGGAAGGGCUGGAGGCGCAGCAGGGUCUCGGGCCCCGGGAAGGCCUUGGCCCACCCGGGCCACCCCGAGGGCCCCCGGGCGAGGCCAGGGCGUGGGGCUGGCGGGCGGCAGGGCCCUGGGGCCCCGCGCUGCAGCUGCACCCGAGUUUCUCUGCGAAGGGAGGAGACCUCUCGUAGGUGGUCGCCGCUCCCUGUGUGUGAGGCCCAUCAUCGAAAUGAUUGUGUAUUCAGUUUAAUCACUCAUUAUUUCUCCGCCGAAAGAAGAUGUUUAACGAAGGGAAAAACCAACAACAGCAAUAACAUUCACGUCUCCGGAGCAGCUAACUCACUCACACGUCUUCUGCUUUCCGUGCGGAACUAGCGAUGUAAAAACCGACCGUGUAAAUACGCCCCCUUUCCACCCUGCGUCCUGCGUGUAUGUGGUGGUUCCUUCUCCAGGACUCGCUUCUCACCGGGUAGCUCGUCUCGUUUUCGGGGUUGUUUUUAGCUGAGGAAGAACAGCCCGCCCGCCCGCCCGGCUCGGGAGGCGGCUUGUUCUUGCUUUAAGUCAGGAGUCAACAAAGAACCCUUUUUGUUCCAUUAAGGAAAAAACCACGGCUCUCCCCUCGCCCCGCGAGGAGCGUCUGCAUCGCCGACCCCUUCUCUCCUUUGCUGCUGCUAAUGACGAUAUGACUUACUCUACUAUUGGAAAACUAUUUUUAUGUAAUUAAUGUAUGCUUUCUUGUUUAUAAAUGCCUGAUUUAAAAAGAAAAAAGAAAAA